AACAUGUCUGGGCAGGGAGGAGCAGCAACAGGGCAGGGAGGAGGAGUGGAAAAGCUGCAGAAACCUCCAGGGAGCUCAGGAUCCACGCCGUGGCUCCCUGGAGUCCUGCUCUGAUCCCAAAAAUCCCCCUCGCCAGGACUGCGAUCCACCGGGACCGUUCAACCCUCAAGGCUGCAGGAUUUUGGGCCCUGCACCCGUGUCCUGCCCCACUGGGAGCUGCUUGGUUUGCCCAGCUCCAGCCGGGAGCGAUACCCAGGGAAAAGGGGAAUUCACCCCAAAUCCAACCAAACCAGAUGAGAAGGAGGGGAAGGAGACCCCAAACUCACUGAUCAUGAGCAGACAGGUCUCAUCGUUGAACGAGGACCAGUUGUUGUUGACCAGAGCCUGCUUCAGCUCCUUGACGGAGAUGAACCCGCUGUGAUCCGUAUCCACCGUCUGGAACCAGGAAAACGCCUCGGGAUCCACCCCUGGGGGGGCAUUCCCUGCUCGGGGAGAGGCCAUCGGAGCUGUCACCUUCCCCUCGGACAGGCCAGGGGCUGGGCUGGGCUGGCCCCGGAGCUUCUCCUCCCACGGGAAUUACAGCUCGGUAAAUCCCGGGAGAACGGGGCUGGGAUGGGCACGGAACGGCUGGAGCCGGGAAUGGGCUGGGAACCGGAGCCUGGGGUGGAGAGGAGCCACGGUGCUGCCCCACAAAUCCGGCAGAACCGGGAGAUUGGUGUGGGGUGAAAGUUUUAGGGCUGCCUGGCCCUUCCUCUUCCUCCCUUUUCUCUUUUUCCUCCUCCUCUUUCUCCUUUCCCUCCUCCUCUUCCUUCUCCUCCCUCUCCUCCUCCUCCUCCAGGAUUUCAAAAUAAUAAACCGGGACAUCCAAUUUCA